UAUGUGAUCGUCUCUUGCAUAUCAAUAAGCGGAGGAAAAGAAACUAACAAGGAUUCCCCUAGUAACGGCGAGUGGAAGCGGGAAGAGCUCAAAUUUGAAAUCUUAAAGGGUUUCCCUUUACGAAUUGUAGUUUAAAGAAGUGUUUUCUGUUGAGGUUUUGGUAAAAGUUCUUUGGAAUAGGACAUCAUAGAGGGUGAGAAUCCCGUAUUUGACCUUUACUUUCAACUUUGUGAUACACUUUCAAAGAGUCGGAUUGUUUGGGAAUGCAGUCCAAAAUGGGUGGUAAAUUUCAUCUAAAGCUAAAUAUUGGCGAGAGACCGAUAGCGAACAAGUACCGUGAGGGAGAGAUGAAAAGAACUUUGAAAAGAGAGUUAAACAGUACGUGAAAUUGUCAAAAGGGAAGCGUUUGACACCAGUGUUGUUUUUCUGAAAAUCAAUUAAAGAACUGUUUAUGCUAAGCUGUUUAGACUUUAUCAGCUAACUGUUUAGUUUUGAGCUUUUCUCUUAAUGCACUUUUCAGUUAACAAGUCAACAUCAAUUUCUUUUGCUGUAAAAAAGCUUGAGGAAGGUGGCUUGAGAUUCGUCUUAAGUGUUUAUAGCCUCUUGCCUAUGCAGUCGGAGAGAUUGAGGUCUGCAGCGUAGAUCCUUCGGGGCUAAAUGCAUUUGUGCUAAGUUAUAACAUUUUAUAGACAACUUGUUGACUAUGAUUUGUCUUGUAGCUUACUCGCUUAUGUUAUUUUACCUACGCUUAGGAUGUUGAGUAGCGACAUACGCAC
rnacentral:rRNA from 1 species